UUGAGUUUGGAGGCUGUGACUCAUGGCUUUUUUUUUUUUUUCUCACACAGAGAAAGCCUGCCUGGGUAGAAGAGAAAGAAGCCAAGCAAAACCAAAAAACGGAUAUGAGAUGAAAAGGAAAGAGAGUAGAGUCCUGGUGACAUCAAGUCCUGGCUCUCUUUGGGGAUCCUGGAGAAGAGUAUUUUUAGGAGGCAUUACUGUGAAGCAUAGCAGGUGGCCAGAUGGUAAUGGAAGGAAACAUGGUCCCUUCUAUCGGCUACAAGAACUGAGUGGCAUUCAGGUGUGUAAUGAGAUAAACUACAUUUCUAGAGACAUUGUCUUGGAUCCAGGUGGAAGAAGGGGGCACCAUGGAAUCUUGCCAGAGAGUAUGAAGUCUGGGAAAAUAGCAAAAAAACAGACUAUUGCACCCAGUCCUGUUCCCUAGGUAGUCCUUUCCUUGCCUUAGCUGUGACACCUGGGAAUUUACUACCAUCCCUUUUGAAAGCUUUCCUCCAGAGGAUGUUGAUAAGGUCAUGUCCGGAUGAUAUUCCCCUGCAGCUUGUGUUCCUGUGUUGACUCCUUCUCCUUUUCUGAAUCACAGGCAUUGCUAGAAAAUCAAAUUAUGC
rnacentral:lncRNA from 1 species